CCUGGCGGCACUAGCGCGGUGGUCCCACCUGACCCCAUGCCGAACUCAGAAGUGAAACGCCGUAGCGCCGAUGGUAGUGUGGGGUCU
rnacentral:rRNA from 8 species